GCUAUUUUUAUGUUUUCAAAAAUCCACAAAAUUUAGAAGCACCUCAACCUUUUCUCGUCCGAUACUGCAAACUUACGAUAAAAUUUACAAUCAAAAAAUUAUAUAAUAGUACUAUAACAAUAAUAGUUUUGUCUAAGGGGGUGUUUGAUUCAGUAUAAAAUGAACUGAAAAAUUAUUUCAAGUAUGAAAAAUAUUUUUUCGCUUGUUUGAUUUAACGUAAAAAUAUUUUUUCAUCAAAGUAAAAGUUUUUGUUUUUAUUUUUUUUGAAAGAAAAUAAAAAUUCAAACUGUGCAAAAUUUUAUUUAUUUAUUUAUUUUUAUCAAAUUAAAUAAAUAUAUAUAUAUAUAUUUUUUCUUUCAACUAAAUAAAUAUUGAUAAAAAAAAGCCUUUUUGCAUAAAAAAUUCACUUAUUUUGGGCUUUUGCAAAAUCGGGCCACCUUUUUCGUUUUUGCAGAUUCGGUCCGCUUUUUCAGCAAACUGACCAAAAUACCCUUAUUAUUUUUUCUCUUUCCUCUUUCUCUCUCCUCUUCGUUCUCUCAUUCUUUUUUUUUCUGCCGGAAAAAAAAAGCGAAGGCCAGGCGGAGCAAUUUUUUCUUCUCUUUUUCUUUUUCUUCUUCUUCUUCCUCCUGCUGGAGCACCUUUUUUUUUUCCCUCUUUCUUCUUUUUCUUCUUCUUCUUCUGUAAAAGCACGGGGCGUGCCACGGCAACUUCCGGCCCCUCGCCAAGCGGCGUCCACCUGGGCGGCGUUCUGCAGGGGGGGUCGGCACGCGGCGACCGCAAGCGCCGCGGCGAUGGUGGGGCGCGCGGAGAAGCGGCGCGCGAGGUGAGCGGGAUGCGCAGCCGGGGACGUCGUCGCGUCGAGUCGAGGCGGCGGUCACGGAGCACGCCCGGGGCUCCGCUUCGGCAGCGUCGGACCCCAUCCCGAUCUCCAACGGCUGCUUCUCUUCUUCGUUAAAUGGUGUAAUGGUACGCGGCCGGGCACGCUAGCGGACGGCGGGCGUCAACGCGGUGCGCGCUGCGUGCUGCUUCUUCGUUUUGUCGUAAUCGGUGAAUGGUAAUGUGUAAGUGUAAUUCCUCACCAAUUAACAGGUGUAAUGGUGCACCAUUAUCAUACCAUUAAUGGUGAAAUUACAUCAUUAAUGGUGUAACCAUUACACCAUUAAUGGUGUAAUUUCACCAUUAAUGGUGUAAUGGUGCACCAUUACACCGUUAAUGGUAUAAUUAAUGGUGUAAUGGUGUAAUUACACCAUUAACGGUGCACGCGGCCCGCGAAGCGGAGCUGCGGGUGGAGCUCCGCAGGGCGCAGCCGGCCGAGAGCCUCCUCGAAGCGCGCUAGUAGCGCGGCGUGGCGUCGGCGCUGCCGCGUGGAGCGGGCAGCGAAGUCGUAUGGUCAUUUUUGAGUAAAAUAAGUGGUUUUACUUUUUCUGUUUUUCGGAUUGCAGCUUAGGAUUCGUGUUAGAUAAUCACCCUUUUGAAUGACUCGGUGUAUGAAGGGGCUAAACCUGGAAUGCUGUCGUCGAGGAGCGGCACCGCUGUUCAGUAAUAAGAUCAAACAAGGAACAAGUGUGCGGCUAUCUAGCUGCAUGUAAGAUGUUUGUAGAAAUGACAAAUCACAAUAUAUGGUUUGAUUCUCAUUCUUCCUGCUGCAUUAAUAUUGUCCAUCACACAACCAAUCAAAUUACUGUCGAAGAACGUGACCACCCAUUUAUUUUUUUAAAAAAUUUUUACUCCAAUAAUUUCAACUCUAAUUCUUUACAGAUAUACAAAAGGAACUUGAUACAUUAUCCAAAACCGGCAAAUCCUAUAUUUUAUCAUACAAGACCACCAAUAAAAAUUAUACCAAUUCAUCCAGCCCACUUAGCCGAGCACUGUUUCUAAAGCACCAGCUGAACCCACCGGGCCACACUGGGGCACGUUCUGAUCCACCGGCGUGGCCGAGGCAGCCGCUCGAACUCGUGGCCGAGGUUGCGGCCGGCAGCAGCGAGCGCCCGCCCCAGCACGCGCCGCUCACGCAGGAGGAGCGCGGACAGCUUGAGCUUGGAGGGGGAGGCGGAGAAGACGGCGCCGGCGGCGUCGAAGUGGCGGCGGAACCGCCGCUCGUCGGGAUGCGGAGGGGGAUCGUCAGGAGGAGGGGAUGGAGGGGGGGAUGGAGGGGGCGGAACCGCCGCUCGUCGGCACGCUGACUUCGCUGCUCGCUCCGCGCGGCAGCGCCGGCGCCACGCCGCGCUGCUGGCGGGCUUCGAGGAGGCCCUCGGCCAGCUGCGCCCGGCAGAGCUCCACCCGCGGCUCCGCUCCGCAGGCCGCGUGCACCGUUAAUGGUGUAAUUACACCAUUACAUCAUUAAUGAUGUAAUGGUGUAAUUUCACCAUUAAUGGUGUAAUGGUGCACCAUUACACCAUUAAUGGUGAAAUUACACCAUUAUUGGUGUAACCAUUACACCAUUAAUUGUGUAAUGGUGCACCAUUACACCAUUACGACGAAGAAGAAGCAGCCACAGCGCGCCCGCGUGCCCGCCCGCUGCCGCUGCGUGCAUCGGCCCGCGUGCACCAUUACACCAUUACGAAGAAGAAGAAGCAGCCGUCGGAGAUCGCGACGGCGGCCGACGCCGCCCGAGCGGAGCCCCGGGCGGCUCGCGUGAUCGCCGCCCUCGACCGGCGCGACGUCCCCGGCUGCGACACCCCGCUCCACCUCGCCGCCCGCCUCCCGCGCGCCUCCACCCUCGCCGCGGCGCUCGCGGUCGCCGUUGCCGACCCCUCCCUGCAGAGAGCCGCCGGGUGGACGCCGCUUGGCGAGGCCGGAAGUCGCCGUGGCGCGCCCCGUGCUCUUACAGGAAGAAGAAGAAAAAGAAAAAGAGGGAAAAAAAAGAGGUGCUCCAGCAGGAGGAAGAAGAAGAAGAAAAAGAAAAAGAGAAGAAAAAAUUGCUCCGCCUGGCUUUCGCUUUUUUUUCCGGCGGAAAAAAAAAAAAAAAAACGAGAGAACGAAGAGGAGAGAGAAAGAGGAAAGAGAAAAAGUAAUAAGGGUAUUUUGGUCAGUUUGUUGAAAAAGCGGACCGAAUCUGUAAAAACGAAAAAGAUGGUCCGAUUUUACAAAAGUCCAAAAUAAGUGAAUUUUUUAUGCAAAAAGGCCUAAAAAAAAAAUAUCCAAAUAAAUGAAUUAAUGGUCACCAUCGUGAUAUCUGGGCAAAAGAAACGAGAGGAUGCGACCGCAGUUACAACUCCCAAGAAAAAGAGAAAUAUCUCGGGCCACCGUGGAACCUCCCAAGAUAUUUUCAGCAUCUCAGCCUAUAAAAGACAGGCCCGCCCCCAACUCCACACAAAAUACAGAGAUUUUUCUUUUACUUUUUGUCUUUGUUUUGUUUUGUCUUUUUUUUUUUUGUUAUUUUUUUGUGUGUGUUCGUGCUCAAUCGAAUCAUAGAGUCGUAAUUUAAUUUAUGGAUCUGAGGGAGAUAGCCGACAGCUCCCGGCGGCGCUGGACGGAUCUGCAGCACGCCUCCUUCCUCAGCUGUCUGGAGGAGUCCUUCGUCCGGGGGUCGCUGCUCGGCUUUGACGCCAGCUGCCACCGCCGCCACCGCCUCCGCCGCUGCCGCCGCCCCCCUCGCCUCGACCGAAUCCUCCCCGACAGCGCCACCGAGUCGACCCGCGACCUCAGCCGCAACCCUGAUCGCCAGCCGGACCGGCCCGCCGACGGGGCGGCCGAAUUAGACUGACCGCACAUGCGGAAUUUAGGCCUAGUUUGAAAAUGCGUUGCCCAGAGGCACCUAAUUUUACAUCUGAGAGAGUACUAGCUAAGGAGCUGUUUGAUUGGAUUUUUAAUUGAAAAAUAUAGUAGCUAAAAAUGCAGCAGCUAUAAUUAUAUAUAUAUAUAUAUAUAUAUAUAUAUAUAUAUAUAUUUUGUUUGAUUUGAUGCACUUGAAAGUGCUAUGACUAUUAAUUAUUUGUUUGGUUGAAUAUAGUUAAAAAGCACAUUUGAAAAAUUUUGUCAUCUUAUAUUUGUGAUGGAAAGAUUGCUUGCAAUGUUAAAAGAAAAUAUAUUUUUAUUUGAAAAUAAUUUGGAAGGAAAGUAUAUUUCUUUGUUUAAAAUUAUUUUUCAAAUACUGUAGUUGGAAGUAUAGCCGAUUUGAGUAUAAUUUGAAUUGCUGUAAUUGGGGCUCUUUGUAUAAUUUCAACUGUUGUAGUUAGACUCAAACGCACAAAAUCAAACACCUGAAUUGAAAUUAUAUGUAAUUAUAAUUUAUAAGUGUAGUGCAGUUAUAAAUACAUACAAUCAAAUAUGGUUUCAUAUUUUCGGUUUAAAAAAUGAUGGUGGGAAUUUCCACUGAAAAAAUAUUUUGCGCGUAUUUCUCUGGUGGAGAGAAUAUUAUCAUUUUAAAAUUUUUAAAACUUCUUGAUUAUCUAAAAUAUUAGAUUAGAUGUGUUUGGACAAUACAUGUCCUAUAAUACUUCUAAUAGCACAAGUCAUUGGCGCUAUUAAAAUUUAUGUGAUUAAUAACGAUCUAAAAGAUAAAAAUGAUUAAAAUAGUAAAUUUAAUGGUAAAAGUUUAGUAGUACAAAAUACUUAGGUGCUAUGAGAAGUAUUUCGGUCGGAUUUGCAUAUCCUAAAAAAAAAAAAAAAAAAAAAAAACCUAUCAAAUAAGCCAGAUAAUCACAUUAUAAAAUAUAUAAGCAUGACAGAUUUAGGAUAGGAGCGUAUUCCAGGCGUGUGAUUUUUAUUUCAAUCCCACUAUCACUCUGUUGGAAACAAAUAGGGAGAAGAUUUUUUUUUAUGAUUUUUGACAUUGUUAUUAUUAUUAUUAUUAUUAUUUAUUUAUUACUAUUUUAAUUUUGGUCUCCUCGUAAUCUCAUUCUAGUGGAUCGAUCGGAAACUCCACCAAUUCAGACCACUGGCAUCCCGAUUGAAAUGCUAGAUACGAUAAAGGGCCAUAAUGAUGAUACAUAAAUGCAGUUAUUAUUAAGUUGUAAUUAAUAAUUCAUCCUUUAAAAACAGUCGAUACACUAAAGCAAAAUUCUUCAGCGAAUUAACAACUUCUAAUAUUAAAUUUAUAAAUUUAGGAGCUGAAAUCUUAGUUAGUAAUACAAUAGUUAAAAUCACUAUUUUUAUGUUUUAAAAGAUCCACAAAAUUUAGAAGCACCUCAAUCUUUCCUCAGACACUGCAAUUACACGGUAAAAUUUACGAACAAAAAAUUAUAACAAUAAUAGUUUUGUCUAAAGGGCAUUUGAUUCGGCAUAAAAUGAACUGAAAAAUUAUUUUCGGUGUGAAAAAUAUUUUUUACUUAUUUGGUUUGACGUAAAAAUAUUUUUCAUAAAUAGAAGUUUUUAUUUUCUGUCUUUAAAAAAAAAAAUUCAAGCUAUGUAAAAUUUUAUUUAUUUAUUUUAUAUGGAACCAAACAUUUUUUUUUUUUUCAACUAAAUAAAUAUUGAUAAACUGCUAAAUCCCACGUCCUCCACAAGAGCCCACAACAGGAUACCCCAUCACCACAUGACCUGCCUCUUCAUAAUGAUGAUGAUGAUCAUGGUUCCCUCCUCCUCCUCCUCCUCCUCCUCCUCUCUUCACCACCCUCCUCACAGAAAAAUUCACGAUCCCAUUCCUCCUCCCCUCUCCAUCCCUCAACCUGUAGCUCAAAAGGUGCAGGUACCCGGCCGGGCCAUGCGAAAACUCCGCCACCGGCACUGCCGCCGCUGCCACCGGCACGGGCACGGUCCCCCCAUGCUGCUUCCUGCACCCGACCUCGACGCGUAUCGACCGCGCGGAGCUCGGAAGCCCCACCAGAAGCCGCUCGUUCCACGUGGGGCAGCUCCCGCCGUCGCGGUCGGGCGCGGUCGCCGCCGCGUCAUGGGGCCCCGUCCGGACCGUCACAAACGCGUCCUUCUCGACGGGCCGGCUGUGGCGGCCCACCCGCAAGUCCUCCGCAGAGAUUAUGAUGAUUUCUAACAACGUCGACGAUGAUGACGGUGUCGGUGACGCGGCCAUGAUAAAUUAGUUCGUGAAUAAAGAUGUAUAUAGAGUAGGGAAUAGCUAGUUAGGGUUUUUCUUUUAUAUAUAUAUAUAUGUAUGUAUAUAUAAGCAGUAGAUACGUAAGUAGUGGGGUUUGGAUUGUUAUGGAAAGUGGAGAGGAACUAACGUGCGAAUCGAAAGUGCGAGGACGCUACUGUUGGCGCGUGGUCUAGAAAACGCGGGUUUUGAACGUUGGAAUGUGUUGGUGUGGAAAAAAUUGCGCGUUUUGCGGUAAAAAAUAGAUUAGGGUUAAGACCCCUGUGGACCUGGUCCUAGGGGUGUAAUGUGGGCCGUGCUGGGCUGGCACGGCCUACAUUUUUUGGGCCGAAUGGGCCAAGAAGUACCCCGGCACUGCCCAAUUUCAGAUCCGGGCCGGGGUGGGCCAGGCUAGUUUUCUCACAACUCGAGCCCAGCACAGCACCCGGCCCGAGCGGUACGGGCCGUGCCAGGCCAGGUCGGGCCGGGCUCCGAGCCGCCCAUUAUUAUUUUUAAAAUACAAUAAAUUUUAAAAUAUAAAAUAUUUAUAUAUAUAAUUAAACUAUAAAAUUUAGGAAAAACUUCAAAUACCCCAUGUGGUUUCGCACUUUUUUACUUUAGUACCUUGUGGUUUAACGUGUAUCAAGUUAGUACCCUGUGGUUUCGCACUUUCUCACUUUCCUGUUAAAGGGUGCAGUUUACACAUCAACACAUCAAAGAAGAAAUAGUACAACAAGAGAAAAAAUAGUAAAAUAAGAGAAGAAAUAGUGUAAAUAUUUCUUCUUAAAUAGUGCAAUAAAAGGAGAAACAGUGUAAAUAUCUCCCAGAGAGUGUAACUUUCAUUUAAAGAGUGUAAGGGCAGUUUACAUUUAAAAAAGUGCAACUUACGUCUAUAAUAGUGCAACGUUCUUUUAAAACACUGCAAUUUAAUCUUAACCGUACAAAUUCAUCUUCUUCUCUGGUUUUCUUUAUUAUUCUCUAGUUUUUGGUUUUUUUUUUUUUUUUUUGAAACAAACAAAAGUGCUAAUUCAGAAAUGUUCUCGUGCAUUCCUUGCUCUUCUUGCCUCCGCACCGUCGAGGCCGCGCUCGUUGUCGCCCUCUGGGGUAGGCAGGUGGGCUGCGUGUCCCCUCCCUCGCCAGCGAGCUUCUUGACGCUGAGAAAUGCUUUCUCUUUAUCGUCGACAGCGGUGGUGGGAACGCGAGUUCCAAGAAGUAGAUUUGGUUGGUGCAAAAUCCGCUGCAGCGGAAAUGGAUGGCAAAGGCGGAGGAAGAGGACGCGUUACCGUCCUUGUUAUCAUCGCAGAGGGCCGCGGAGGAGAUGGAGGAGGGUCGGAGAAAAAAAAAAAAGAGGAGCGCAGUACGGCCUCGGCGAGGUCGGAGGCGAGUAGGGCGAGGGGUAUGCGGGCGAAGGUGAGGGUGAGGGCGUGAGGUGCAGAGACGAUGGGACCGUUUCCGCUUUCGCCGCCGUCGCCUUCUUCGGCGAGAAAAAAAAGGUGAGAGAAAAAGGUAAAAGGGUAUUUUGGUCAGUUUAUUAAAAAUCCGACUCGAAUCUGCAAAAUCGAAAAAUGUGGUUCACUUUUGCAAAAGUGCAAAACUAGUGAAUUCUUUUUUAUGUAAAUUGGCCAAAAAUUAUCGUAAUUCGAUAAUUAGCAAUUGGAUUGAAAUGCUAGAUGAGAUAAGGGUCCAUAAAUUGAUGAUACUUAAAAUACAGUUAGAAAUAUAUUGAGUGUAGGUAAUAAUUCAUCCUCUAAUAGUCAAAACCCAAAACAACUACAGCGAAUUUCUGUUAAGAGUUUGCAACUUAUAAUAUUAAACUUAAAAGUUUGGGGGCUAAGACAUAGUUUUGGAAUAUGACAAUUAAAAUCACCACUUUUAUAUUUUGAAAAGUCUAAAAAAAUUAACUAGAAACGCUUCAAUAAUUUUUCCUCUGAUACUAUAAACUUGCAAUAAAGUUUACUAUCAAAUAAGCAGAUAAUCACAUUAUAAAAAUAUAUAAGCAUGACAGAUUUAGGGAUAGGAGCGUAUUCCAGGCGUGUUGAUUUUUAUUUCAAUCCCACUUAUCACUCUGUUGGAAACAAAUAGGGAGAAGAUUUUUUUUUUAUGAUCUUUUGACAUUGUUAUUAUUAUUAUUAUUAUUAUUAUUAUUAUUACUAUUUUUAAUUUUUGGUCUCCCUCGUAAUCUCAUUCUAGGUGGAUCGGAUCGGAAGCUCCACCAAUUCAGACCACUGGCAUCCCGAUUGAAAUGCUAGAUACGAUAAAGGGCCAUAAAUUGAUGAUACAUAAAUGCAGUUAUGUAUUAAGUGUAAUUAAUAAUUCAUCCUUUAAAAACAGUCGAUACACUAAAGCAAAAUUCUUCAGCGAAUUAACAACUUCUAAUAUUAAAUUUAUAAAUUUAGGAGCUGAAAUCUAGUUUAGUAAUACAAUAGUUAAAAUCACUAUUUUUAUGUUUUAAAAGAUCCACAAAAUUUAGAAGCACCUCAAUCUUUCCUCAGACACUGCAAACUUACGGUAAAAUUUACGAACAAAAAAUUAUAACAAUAAUAGUUUUGUCUAAAGGGGCAUUUGAUUCGGCAUAAAAUGAACUGAAAAAUUAUUUUCGGUGUGAAAAAUAUUUUUUUACUUAUUUGGUUUGACGUAAAAAUAUUUUUUCAUAAAAGUAGAAGUUUUUAUUUUCUGUCUUUUAAAAAAAAAAAAUUCAAGCUAUGUAAAAUUUUAUUUAUUUAUUUUUAUAUGGAACCAAACAUUUUUUUUUUUUUUUC
rnacentral:lncRNA from 1 species